rnacentral:rRNA from 1 species
AGCGAACGCUGGCGGCAGGCCUAAUACAUGCAAGUCGAACGGCUCUUCGGAGCAGUGGCGGACGGGUGAGUAACGCGUGGGAAUGUGCCCUUUGGUACGGAACAACACAGGGAAACUUGUGCUAAUACCGUAUGUGCCCUUCGGGGGAAAGAUUUAUCGCCCUUGGAACAGCCCGCUCGGGCUUAGGUAGUUGGUGAGGUAAAGUCUCACCAAGCCUACGAUCCAUAGCUGGUCUGAGAGGGUGACCAGCCACACUGGGACUGAGACACGGCCGUGACGCCUACGGGAGGCAGCAGUAGGGAAUCUUGCGCAAUGGGCGAAAGCCUGACGCAGCCAUGCCGCGUGUAUGAUGAAGGUCUUAGGAUUGUAAAAUACUUUCACCGGGGCAGAUAAUGACGGUACCCGGAGAAGAAGCCCCGGCUAACUUCGUGCCAGCCGCCGCGGUAAGAC